AUGGUGUAGGUGACAUUCAACUCGGCUCUGGCCCAGAAGGAUGCCAAGAAGGACGAGCCGAAGAGCGGCGAGGAGGCACUCAUCAUCCCCCCGGACGCUGUUGCCUUGGACUGCAAGGACCUAGAUGAUGUAGUACCAGUUGCCAGAGAAGAGCCUGGUGUUGGUGCAUGUGCUUUGGACUAGCAUUUAUGCUUGCAGGAGUCAUUCUUGGAGGAGCAUACCUGUACAAAUAUUUUGCACUUCAACCAGAUGACGUGUACUACUGUGGAAUAAAGUACAUCAAAGAUGAUGUCAUCCUAAAUGAGCCUUCUGCAGACGCCCCAGCUGCUCACUACCAGACAACUGAAGAAAAUAUUAAGAUCUUUAAAGAAGAUGAGGACGAAUUCAUCAGUGUGCCUGUUCCAGAAUUUGCAGAUAGUGAUCCUGCCAACAUUGUUCAUGAUUUUAACAAGAAACUCACUACCUAUUUAGAUCUUAACCUGGAUAAGCGCUAUGUGAUCCCCCUGAAUACUUCCAUUGUUAUGCCUCCCAGAAACCUGUUGGAGUUACUCAUUAACAUCAAGGCUGGUACCUAUUUGCCUCAAUCAUACCUGAUUCAUGAACACAUGGUUAUUACUGAUCGAAUUGAAAAUAUUGAUGGCUUGGGUUUCUUUAUUUAUUGACUGUGCCAGGACAAGGAAACUUACAAAUUGCAGCGCAGAGAAACUAUUAAAGGUAUUCAGAAACAUGAAGCCAGCAACUGUGUCACAAUUUGGCAUUUUGAAAACAAAUUUGCUGCGGAAACUUUAAUUUGCUCUUGA